UACGGAGGGGGCUAGCGUUGUUCGGAAUUACUGGGCGUAAAGCGCACGUAGGCGGACGCUUAAGUCAGGGGUGAAAUCCCGGGGCUCAACCCCGGAACUGCCUUUGAUACUGGGUGUCUGGAGGUCGAGAGAGGUGAGUGGAAUUCCGAGUGUAGAGGUGAAAUUCGUAGAUAUUCGGAGGAACACCAGUGGCGAAGGCGGCUCACUGGCUCGAUACUGACGCUGAGGUGCGAAAGCGUGGGGAGCAAACAGG
rnacentral:rRNA from 1 species